GCCGGGCAUGGUGGCAUAUGCCUGUGGUCCCAGCUACUCAGGAGGCUGGGGUGGGAGGAUCACCUGAGCCCAGGAGGCAGAGGUUGCAGUGAGCUCAGAUCAUGCCACUGCACUCCCGCCUGGGCGACAAAGUGAGACUCCGUCCCCC
rnacentral:SRP_RNA from 1 species